rnacentral:rRNA from 1 species
UGAUCCAGCCAUGCCGCGUGUGUGAUGAAGGCUUUCGGGUUGUAAAGCACUUUCAGCGAGGAAGAUAGCCUCUGGGUUUGUACCCCAAACCACGGACAUCACUCUGCCAACAAGCACCGGCUAACUCCGUGCCAGCAGCCGCGGUAAU